CCUACGGGUGGCUGCAGUGGGGAAUAUUGCACAAUGGGCGCAAGCCUGAUGCAGCCAUGCCGCGUGUGUGAAGAAGGCCUUCGGGUUGUAAAGCACUUUCAGCGGGGAGGAAGGCGUUAAGGUUAAUAACCUUGUCGAUUGACGUUACCCGCAGAAGAAGCACCGGCUAACUCCGUGCCAGCAGCCGCGGUAAUACGGAGGGUGCAAGCGUUAAUCGGAAUUACUGGGCGUAAAGCGCACGCAGGCGGUCUGUCAAGUCGGAUGUGGAAUCCCCGGGCUCAACCUGGGAACUGCAUUCGAAACUGGCAGGCUAGAGUCUUGUAGAGGGGGGUAGAAUUCCAGGUGUAGCGGUGAAAUGCGUAGAGAUCUGGAGGAAUACCGGUGGCGAAGGCGGCCCCCUGGACAAAGACUGACGCUCAGGUGCGAAAGCGUGGGGAGCAAACAGGAUUAGAUACCCGGGUAGUC
rnacentral:rRNA from 1 species